rnacentral:rRNA from 1 species
UGAGGAAUAUUGGUCAAUGGAGGCAACUCUGAACCAGCCAUGCCGCGUGCAGGAUGACGAUCCUAUGGAUUGUAAACUGCUUUUGUACAGGAAGAAAUGCAAUUACGUGUAGUUGUUUGACGGUACUGUAAGAAUAAGGACCGGCUAACUCCGUGCCAGCAGCCGCGGUAAUACGGAGGGUCCGAGCGUUAUCCGGAAUUAUUGGGUUUAAAGGGUCCGUAGGCGGUUUUGUAAGUCAGUGGUGAAAUCUCCUAGCUUAACUAGGAAAUUGCCGUUGAUACUGUGAGACUUGAAUCAUUAGGAAGUAACUAGAAUAUGUAGUGUAGCGGUGAAAUGCUUAGAGAUUACAUGGAAUACCAAUUGCGAAGGCAGGUUACUACUAGUGUAUUGACGCUGAUGGACGAAAGCGUGGGUAGCGAACAGG